GGGGGUUUAGCUCAGUGGUAGAGCGCUUGCCUAGGAGCGCAAGGCCCUGGGUUCGGUCCCCAGCUCCG
rfam:Rattus norvegicus chromosome 7, whole genome shotgun sequence.